rnacentral:lncRNA from 1 species
AGCCGGGUCCUGCGGGGCUGCUCCCCGCCCUCCCGGGCCUCAGGCCCCGCCACAACACCGGGCCCGCGCGCCCUGGCAGUCGGUGGCUUACUUCUAGUUUCCAGGGAUCGUGGGACCCUUCUCCGCGGAUCUGUUUCAUCCUGAAGUGCAGAAACUGAGUUUCAAGUGGAUCCAGCAACUUGCCCAAGUCAUAAAACCAGAAAGCAUGGAGCCAAGAAUCAGAGCCUGGAUGCCUGACCAGAGCGGUCCUCUGAAACACCCCCCUGUAUAUUGUCUUCAGGCUGCCUCUAUUUACAAACUCAUAUUGAACUCAUUACUCCUCCCAGUUCUGCAGGCAGAAGACUUCUAUGAGAGCACUUAGGACCCGGGUGACAUCAGCCUUGGAACAGGCAAACAAACAUGGAAAACUAAUCUUGGUGGCUUUCUCUUUUUCAAAAGGAACAUUUACGAUCCAAAUAGCCAUCUGUGUGGUCAAGAUCAUUAUUCGGCUGUGCAUAUCAGAAAUUUCAUAAAAUGUUCUCCAAUAUCAGUGCUGGAGGAGGGCCUUAUGAGGAGUUCAUGAACAUCAAGAAGGCAGUUAAUUGGUUAUCAGAAGACUAAGAAAAGUGGCUUCCACAAAGCUUCAGAGAGCCAGAAGCAAUAGUGUGGCUUUUGGAGCCACAAGUACACCAGGUCUUGCUCUGUCACCCAGGCUGGAGUGCAGUGGUGUGACCUCGGCUUACUGCAGCCUCGAACUCCCAGGCUCAAGCGAUCCUCUCACCUCAGCCUCCCCAGGAGCUGGGACUACAGGUACACGCCACCACACCUGGCUUUAUUCAUGUUUGUCAAAGGCUCUGUAUCCAUUUGCCAUCUCUUAUUCAUUUUCAUUCUUCCAUUUUUGUUUGCUUUCUUUAAAAUCCUUAGUAGACUAUAUAGAUGCUUGUUGUUUUU